GUCCAGGGAUGGGAAUCGAACCCACAGUGUUCAGCUUACCAGACAGAUGCCAUGUCCACUAGGCUACCCUGGA
rnacentral:tRNA from 1 species